GACGAACGCUGGCGGCGUGCUUAACACAUGCAAGUCGAGCGGUAAGGCCCUUUUCGGGGGUACACGAGCGGCGAACGGGUGAGUAACACGUGGGUGACCUGCCCUCAGCUCUGGGAUAAGCCCGGGAAACUGGGUCUAAUACUGGAUAUGACUCCACGGUGCAUGCCGUGGGGUGGAAAGCCUUGUGCGGCUGAGGAUGGGCCCGCGGCCUAUCAGCUUGUUGGUGGGGUGAUGGCCUACCAAGGCGACGACGGGUAGCCGGCCUGAGAGGGCGACCGGCCACACUGGGACUGAGACACGGCCCAGACUCCUACGGGAGGCAGCAGUGGGGAAUCUUGCGCAAUGGGCGAAAGCCUGACGCAGCGACGCCGCGUGAGGGAUGACGGCCU
rnacentral:rRNA from 1 species